CUUUUAAUUGGAGGCUUGAAUGAAUGGUUGGACGAGGAAUAAGCUGUCUCCUUUACGGUGUUUGAAUUUAACUUUUGAGUGAAAAGGCUCAAAUUGUCUGGGGGGACGAUAAGACCCUAUAAAACUUGAUAUAAUUUGAGUUUAACUUGCGAGGUGAGUGAAAAGUAGUUCUGUUCGGUUUAUAUUUCGUUGGGGAGAUGAAGAUAUAAUGUGUAACUGUCUGUUUAAUUUUAUAGAAUUAACUAGAAUUUGAUCCUUCUUUGAGGAUUAGAAGAUUAAGUUACUUUAGGGAUAACAGCGUG
rnacentral:rRNA from 1 species